UACGUAGGGUCCAAGCGUUGUCCGGAAUUAUUGGGCGUAAAGAGCUCGUAGGCGGUUUGUCGCGUCUGCUGUGAAAUCCCGAGGCUCAACCUCGGGCUUGCAGUGGGUACGGGCAGACUAGAGUGCGGUAGGGGAGAUUGGAAUUCCUGGUGUAGCGGUGGAAUGCGCAGAUAUCAGGAGGAACACCGAUGGCGAAGGCAGAUCUCUGGGCCGUAACUGACGCUGAGGAGCGAAAGCGUGGGGAGCGAACAGG
rnacentral:rRNA from 1 species